AAUAGGCAGGUAUGGAAGGUAUAUAGUUUAUCUGUGACAGGUCAGUGUUUUAAAGGAAGAAGGUAAUCCACAUAAGUCAUUGCUCCCUCUUUGCCUUUCUGGUGAGUUCUGUGUUUUGGGUGAAGUGGAAUAGCUCAGAAAAGCACGAGUGAGGAAUUCCCCAUGCAGGGAUGCUGCUCAGCUGAGUUUGUAGCAUUCUGCUCCCACACUCAUGGUCUGCUGUUAGUGACAUUGUAUAUUGUUGCAACUUUAUAGGAAGUAAAGAAAAGGAACACCAGACCUUGACACUGUGGAUGUCCUCAGAGCACAUGAACUAGACUGGACUCUGCAAAAAAAGAAGGCAGUGGGACUUACUGCUGAAUGAACAUCAUCUGCUACAAACAA